GACGUAGGGUGCGAGCGUUGUCCGGAUUUAUUGGGCGUAAAGAGCUCGUAGGCGGCUUGUCGCGUCGGCCGUGAAAACUUGGGGCUCAACCCCAAGCCUGCGGUCGAUACGGGCAGGCUAGAGUUCGGUAGGGGAGACUGGAAUUCCUGGUGUAGCGGUGGAAUGCGCAGAUAUCAGGAGGAACACCGAUGGCGAAGGCAGAUCUCUGGGCCGUAACUGACGCUGAGGAGCGAAAGCGUGGGGAGCGAACAGG
rnacentral:rRNA from 1 species